CUUAGAAAAAAAGGAAAAAAAAA
rnacentral:sRNA from 1 species